rfam:Rhizobium etli CNPAF512 RHECNPAF_contig46, whole genome shotgun sequence.
GAGAUUCAGAUGGCCCACUCCUCCUCCCGAAGGGACGUCUGUUGGAACAGCGGCACUCCUCCUCCCAAGUCGCUGUUCGGUUCUUUUAGGAAAGCCUGCCGCACCUCCUCCCGCGGCAGGCUUUUCUA